rnacentral:rRNA from 1 species
UACGAAGGGGGCUAGCGUUGCUCGGAAUCACUGGGCGUAAAGGGUGCGUAGGCGGGUCUUUAAGUCAGGGGUGAAAUCCUGGAGCUCAACUCCAGAACUGCCUUUGAUACUGAAGAUCUUGAGUUCGGGAGAGGUGAGUGGAACUGCGAGUGUAGAGGUGAAAUUCGUAGAUAUUCGCAAGAACACCAGUGGCGAAGGCGGCUCACUGGCCCGAUACUGACGCUGAGGCACGAAAGCGUGAGGAGCAACAGG